rnacentral:rRNA from 1 species
UACGUAGGUGGCAAGCGUUGUCCGGAUUUACUGGGCGUAAAGGGCUUGUAGGCGGUUUGUUAAGUCUGGUGUGAAAUCUCCCGGCUCAACCGGGAGGGGUCAUCGGAUACUGGCAGACUUGAGACGGGUAGAGGAAAGCAGAAUUCCCGGUGUAGCGGUGAAAUGCGUAGAUAUCGGGAGGAAUACCAGUGGCGAAGGCGGCUUUCUGGGCCUGUUCUGACGCUGAGGCACGAAAGCCAGGGGAGCAAACGGG